rnacentral:lncRNA from 1 species
AAGGUCUGUUGCUCUGCUCAUAUCUCCUCAGCAUCACUCUUCCAAGAAGUGCCAAAGCAUCCAGCUGUAUCCUUUGAAGGUGCCCUAGGUUCUCUGCCUGACAUUUUUAUCUAACUGACUCCUAAGGCAGGCACAAAGUAGUUUUCCAGGCAGCACCUUCUAAAGAUAAAGUCUGGGAGUUUAGGAAUAAAUACUUCAGUUUUCUCAUGCCUCAGUUGAGACAAUUGUGAUAUAUGUUUUAUACCAACUUGCAGCAGUCCAUAACAAAACUCAGUUAUAGUUGCCCCAAGAAUUAAACUGUUCAUUAAUGCAUCCAGUAUCCUUCCUUUCCCUGUCUUAUUUUCUCACUCCCUUACAUACGAUGCUGGGCAUCAUAUAACACUAAAUUAUUUGCAUUCAAAUUCUUGCGUUAGGGUCUCCUUCUAUGGAAAUCUACCCUAAGUUAUCCUUUUACUUAUAGUUCAUUUAUAUCUUUAUAUUUAAACACAAGGAGCAUAUUGUUGUAUUUUGUUUUAUUUAGUCUGAUAAUUUUCUUAAUUGAAAUAUUUAGUUCAUUUAUACUUAGUGUAUAUUCUGGUAUAUUGUAUGUUCUGUUUUCUCUCAUGUCUGUCUUCAUUAUUUCUCCUCUAUUAACCUGUUGGAUAUGAACCUGUUGGUUCUUUUACCAUACUUUUAGUGAGUAUCCUAGAUAUUACAAGCACCUUUAACUAAUUACAGUCUAAUAUAAAUUAGAUCUUUUACCACUUCCCAGAUGUUGCUAUGAUUUAGAACAUUUAUACUCCAUUUAUUCGCUUCCUGGAGUUUUGUUGUUAAUAUCAAGCAAAGUAACACAUGCAUUUUAGAGUUCACAAGACAUUAUUACCAUCGUUUGUAUAGACAAUUUUCAUUUAGGCUUAUAUACUUAAUGUACCUAUCUCAGUUUCCCUUAAUUCUCUCCUACAUUUUCAUUUUAUUGUUUAGGGUUAUUUUCCUAUUAUAGAAGAACUAACUACUUUUAGUGUGAUUCGGUUGACAGCACAUUUUCUCAGGGUUUUUUGUUUGCUUGUAUGGAAAUAGUUUUAUUUACCCUUUGCUCUUUUCUUCCUUGUAUAAGUGAUGUCAUUUGUAUUGAGGAAUAAUUUAUCUACAUCCAAAAGCACAAAACUUCAAUGUUCAGCUUGAUGAAUUUUUAUGUGUGCUAUCCAAAUCAAGGUUUUGAAAUACAGGGCCCUCCAGAAAUUUUCCCCAUCCUCUCCCACAGACAACAACCUUCCUAUAGAAGUAAUUGCAAAUCUGUAUUUUCCAAUAAGUUAGUUUUGGCUAUUCUUGAACUACAUAUAAAUGGUAUCAUACAAAAUGUACUUUCGUUUCUAGCUUCUUUCACUCAAUGUUAAAUCUGUGGAAUCAUCCAUCUUAUGUGUAAAAGUUAUUUUAAUUGCUAUGUAGUAUCCUAUCGACUAUGUCGAAAUUUAUUUUGGGGAGGUAAUGGUUAUUUCCUUAAGUACUUUAAAAAGCAUUUUUAUAGUUUUAUAGCUUCUGAAGUUUCUAUGGAAAAGUCAGGUAUUAAGUCUUACUAUUUCUUCUUUGAAGGUAAAUGAGUUUUUUCCUCUGGCUGCUUUUAAAAUGAUUUUGGUUUUGAUUUUCAGUUGUCUAAUUAUGAUAUGCCUAGGUAUUAUUUCCUUUUUAUAUAUCCUGCCUUAAUCUGUGGCUCACUGCCUUUUGUCAGUUUUUGAUAAUUUUCAGCUGUUCGCUUUCAAGUAUUGCCUUUGACUUUUUCUCUUCCUCCUUUAUAUAGUUACAGCUAUAUACAUUAUAGACCUUUUUAUCCUCUCUCUUAUGUCUCUUAUGAUACUUCCUAAAUUUCUGUCUUUUCUUGAUCUCCUUAUGUUAGCUUGAAUGGUUGCUAUUGACUUAACCCUAGUUCAUUAUUAUGUUCAUAUCGAAUUCUUAAUUUAUAUUAUUGUAUUUUUUAGUUCCAGAGUUUUUAUUGUUUUUUUUAAUGUUUAAAUUCUAUGAUUACAUUCUUUAUCUUGUCAUCUAUUUUUUAAAAAAGUUUUACUCACAGUCGUUUUAAAGUGUAUAUCUGAUGGGUCCCAACCAGCUUACCUUCCAUGCUUUUUCUACUGUUUUUCCUUUUAGUCAUGCUUGUUGAUAUGUGCUGUAUGUGUGAUUGAAAGCCAGACAUUAUUUAUGGGAAUUUGUGGAAGCUCUUGGUGAUGUCAUUUUCCUCCAGAGUGAGUUCGCCAUAUGGUCAAUGUGGUAAAUAGAGGACAGAUCACAUGAAUACAGUCUGAGAUUGAGAUGACUUGAAGCUGAGUUACAACUUUGAUAAGGUGCCAUUUGCAUCUGAUUCAUCCCAUAUCUGAAGGGUAGCCCUCCACAGACAUUAUUUAGUUGGUACUUAUAUUGUAAUAAGUAUGAUUCCCUUUGUGCUGCAAGUAAGACAAAAAAUUAGCUUAAACAGGAUAAAUUUAUCAUCUUACAUAACAAGAAGUCCAGAGAUAGGAUGGCUUUUUGGGUACUUAUUGGUAAAUGCAUACUGGAUAUAGCUUGAGUUCUUUAAAAUUCUCUUGUCUUUGUUUUAAUGUUUGAUAUGACUGCUGCAGUUUCAGGUCUCAUAGGCAGCCGACCUUAUGCUGAGGCAGAAAAAUGAAGUUGUCUUUAUAGUUCUUUGUGUAAGAAUGAAUAAUCCAUUUCCUAGGGGCCUCCUUCCCCUAAAGUCUUCCCUUCAUGUCUCUUCGGCAAGAAUUUUGUCACAUACCUAUGCCCCAGUGAAAUGACCAUGUUUGGCUUAGAUUAGUCAAGAGUAACCCUUUAGGCCUGGGAAGGGUCCUUUCUCUGAGCCCACAGCCAGGGGAAGUGUGAGUACCUCAACAAAACUGGGACCUGAUUAACAAGAAAGAAGGAAAUAAUAGGUAUCUGUCACAUGGAGAGAUAGCUAUCUCUCAUAUAGCAAUCCUAUGAGAAAGUAUAUUAUUAUCUAUCCAGUUUUAAUUAUGAAAAUUCUGUGAUUCACUGAAUUUAAAUACCCAGCACAAGGUCAAUUACUUAGUGGCAGAGUCUCUGUUAAAAUAAAUAUCUGAUUCCAGAUUUUGAGCUCUUUUUAUUGCCCUGAGUCUACCGACAAAGAUAGAAGUCUUCUUUUUUCAUAACCUGCCCUAUAAGAUGUUCAUAUAUACAAAUUGUGGUGGAUAAUACCAUUUUCUUCACCCUGCCUUUCCAUAUCUUAGCAGAAACAUCACAAAUGUUCAGUCAGGAUGAGAAUGCUCUGUAGAGAGUGUUAAUCACCUCUAAAUCAAAGAUUGCCUUAAACUUUAAUUCAUAUAUUUAUGUGGCCAUUCCUCAAUAAGUAAUGGACAUAAGCCACCUAGGGCCUAAGCAUUAUAAGGUGUUGCUAUUCAAGCUGAAACCACAAGGGACCAAUUAGAUUUUUCACUUCCAUUAGCAAAUAUGAUUUGUGUCCACUCUCUGCUGCCAUUCAUAAUUUUGAACUCCACUCUGCUUAAAAUAUUCCCUCUCAGCUUCAGCUGAAUGAUUUUCACAAGAAUCUGUCUCUUUGAGAAGUACCCUUAGAGUGAUGGAUUAGUAGCCCUGACAACAUUUCCUAGGUUGGGAACACAUUAGCCACUUCCAUUUCUCUCCUCCAGAGUGGUGGUGGGGAGCCGUGAAGCCCUGCCAUCAGAAGAGCUGGAGACCAGACCUCUUCAUGACAAAGCAGCUGGAACAACCACAAUUGCAGCCCUUGAGAGCAACUCCUGCCACAAGGUCAGAGGAGCAGCAUUUUAUAUUCCUUUGUAGAAUAAACUGAAUAUUUUUAUAAGAAACAAAUCUUCCACCCAUGAUCCUGUUCCCAUUAGUAGGUCAAGGCAAGAGCAAACCGGAGAGGCUUAAUUUACUUAGGAGACGUUCAGUAUAAAUACUUUAUUCCCUUGUGUGAUGUUCUUGUUCUGUUUGCUUUAAUACAUGCAAACAAUGAUGACUUACUCUAAGUUUUGAUAUGCCCAAAGACCAUCCCUCUAAUAACAGGGUGCUCCUCUUUGUCUGGGUGUCAAGAAGAUCCAGAAAGUCUACAUCAACACAGCAUGUAUUUUCCCUCCACUAAACUACUAUACAAUCUGUAAUUGCUAACCCCACAAGUUUGAAAGUUUACCUUAACAUUUGUGGGAAGCAGAUGGUUUUCAUACACUGCCAACCUGUUGUUAUUAAAGCAUUUUCUAAGAAUUGUUUCCCAGCCAUAGUCACUAGCAUAAUUAACCUUUCUGUGGAUUGCAUAAUCAAGAGAAUGAUCACCAAUCUGCCUGGAAGCCAAAUGCACCGCUCAAAAUUUGCUGCAGAGCAAGCUCUGUGUACUUGUAAAACCACACACAGCAAGAGGAAUAAUCCACUUUCGGGAUGUUUUCUGGUGGCCACCUUUCUUUCCUCUGUCUCCUCUUUCAUUCUAUGAAGCAGACUCUCAUUCUGGUCCUUUGUUCCUAUUUCUAUCUGCAACUAUCAUUCUGACUGGGUGCUGAGAUAGCUUUCUUAACAGAAUAGUAACCAUGCAAGAAGCAUGGAGGAUAUAAGAGAAAAUGACCUCAGAUUUGAGACUUUAGGAUCAGUACUUCAAAGCUCUUUGUUUCCCUACAGGCUUUAUCCAGCCUUUUUCUUUUUCUUUAAAAAAAAAAUUGUAGUUGAUUUACAAUGUUCUGUCAAUUUCUGCUGUGCAGCAAGAUGAUCCAGAUAUAUAUACAUAUAUAUACAUAUAUGUAUACAUAUAUUCUUUUUCUCAUAUUGUCUUCUAUUAUGUUCUGUCACAAGUGAUUGGGGGAGUUCUGUGUGGCUCAGUGAUAAUGAAUCCAACUGGUAUCCAUGAGGACGUGGGUUUGAUCUGGUGAACUAUGGUAUAGGUCACAGAUGUGGCUCAGAUCUGACGUUGCUGUGGCUGUGGCUCCAAUUUGACCCCUAGUCUGGGAACUUCCAUAUGCUG